UUGACUUUUGAUUUUUGAUUGAGAACCGAUGAGGUAAAGUAAUACAUGACAUUCACUUUAAGUUUCCCUCUUAACAGCAGACUGGUGUUUGAGUAACUCACAAAGAAGUUCAGAAGCCACUGCGCCAGCCACGGAGGUACACGGCUCAACUCUCCUUCCAGACAGAAGCUGCUGGGAGGAGCUCCAGCUACCACAGCAGUCAUUCUGAGGCUACGCCUUCCCCAGGCUGCUUCUAGCCAAUAACUCUGCACAGCAGGGAGACUGGAGCCUCAAAUAUUUUGAAGAAUGAAUUUGAAGGCAAAUUCAUACUGAGAGAUAGCUACAGACAAUCUCCACAGCUGGAGGAGGCAGGGAUUUUCAUGUUUCAGUGUUCCCGCAUUCUGAGACUGUGAAGGAUGGUUCUGCUAACCAUGGAGAAAUGCAACCCAGCCUGGCCAGAAGCUGCUGCAGAUUCCACGUCCUCCCUCUGCUAGAACCUCUUUCCCAGAUUUGUUUGGAGUUGGGUGUGGCUGAGUUUGAGUUCCAGCCAGCCACGUUGGAGUGCAUGCUGUCCUGUUUCCGGGUCAUGGCUUAAGAAGAACCUAUCCUCUUCCAGUCUUUCUCUCUUCUCACUGGAUGAAAAGCAGGAGGAGACCAAUGGUAAGUCCCUAGAAGAAGGCAGAAUCACCGCGUGCAGGAAAACCUCCACCAACCAGGAGAACCUCCGUACCUUCUUCCAUGAGCAAGAAAGAAACUUCUACUAUGUUUGUCCUUACACAUUGUUGUUUCUUCGGCCUAUUUACACUGAUUCACUCAAUACGUUGACAGAUUCACUUAACUCCUUAUAAAAGUUUUACCAGAUUGCUUGUAUUUACUUAAGAAUCUUUUGUCCAGUUGAAUAAAACACUGGCCCAUCUGCGUGGG
rnacentral:lncRNA from 10 species